GAUGAACGCUGGCGGCGUGCCUAAUACAUGCAAGUCGAGCGAACGGACGAGAAGCUUGCUUCUCUGAUGUUAGCGGCGGACGGGUGAGUAACACGUGGAUAACCUACCUAUAAGACUGGGAUAACUUCGGGAAACCGGAGCUAAUACCGGAUAAUAUUUUGAACCGCAUUGUUCAAAAGUGAAAGACGGUCUUUCUGUCACUUAUAGAUGUAUCCGCGCUGCAUUAGCUAGUUGGUAAGGUAACGGCUUACCAAGGCAACGAUGCAUAGCCGACCUGAGAGGGUGAUCGGCCACACUGGAACUGAGACACGGUCCAGACUCCUACGGGAGGCAGCAGUAGGGAAUCUUCCGCAAUGGGCGAAAGCCUGACGGAGCAACGCCGCGUGAGUGAUGAAGGUCUUCGGAUCGUAAAACUCUGUUAUUAGGGAAGAACAUAUGUGUAAGUAACUGUGCACAUCUUGACGGUACCUAAUCAGAAAGCCACGGCUAACUACGUG
rnacentral:rRNA from 1 species